AACCUGAGAGUUUGAUCCUGGCUCAGAACGAACGCUGGCGGCAGGCUUAACACAUGCAAGUCGAACGCCCCGCAAGGGGAGUGGCAGACGGGUGAGUAACGCGUGGGAAUCUAC
rnacentral:rRNA from 1 species